rnacentral:rRNA from 1 species
AGUGAACGCUGGCGGUAGGCCUAACACAUGCAAGUCGAACGGCCGCACAGUAAGCUCUUGCUCUUACGGUUGGCGAGUGGCGGACGGGUGACGAAUACAUCGGCAUCUACUUUUUCGUGGGGGAUAACGUAGGGCCACUUCCGCUACUACCUCAUAUUUCCUACCGGUUAGAGCAGGGGAUCUUCGCACCUUUCCCGUCUGAAUGAGCCGGUGUCGGAUUAGCUAGUUUGCGUGGUAAAGGCCCACCAAGGCGACGAUCCGUAGCUGGUCUGAGAGGAUGAUCGGCCACACUGGAACUGAGACACGGUCCAGACUCCUACGGGAGGCAGCAGUAGGGAAUAUUGGGCAAUGGGCGCAAGCCUGAUCCAGCAAUACCGCGUGAGUGAUGAAGGCCUUCGGGUUGUAAAGCCCUUUUGUUGGGAAAGAAAAGAAGCGGGUUAAUACCCCGAUGUUCUGACGGUACCCAAAGAAUAAGCACCGGCUAACUUCGUG